AAUUGACGGGGACCCGCACAAGCGGUGGAUGAUGUGGAUUAAUUCGAUGCAACGCGAAAAACCUUACCUACCCUUGACAUGCUAGGAAUCCUGCAGAGAUGUGGGAGUGCUCGAAAGAGAACCUAGACACAGGUGCUGCAUGGCCGUCGUCAGCUCGUGUCGUGAGAUGUUCGGUUAAGUCCGGCAACGAGCGCAACCCACAUCCUUAGUUGCCAGCAGUUCGGCUGGGCACUCUAAGGAAACUGCCCGUGAUAAGCGGGAGGAAGGUGUGGAUGACGUCAAGUCCUCAUGGCCCUUACGGGUUGGGCUACACACGUGCUACAAUGGCGGUGACAGAGGGCAGCGAGGCCGCGAGGCCGAGCGAAUCUCCAAAAGCCGUCUCAGUUCGGAUUGUUCUCUGCAACUCGAGAGCAUGAAGGCGGAAUCGCUAGUAAUCGCGGAUCAGCAUGCCGCGGUGAAUACGUUCCCGGGUCUUGUACACACCGCCCGUCACACCAUGGGAGUGGGUUGCUCCAGAAGUAGAUAGUCUAACCCUCGGGAGGACGUUUACCACGGAGUGAUUCAUGACUGGGGUGAAGUCGGAACAAGGUAGCCGUAUCGGAAGGUGCGGCUGGAUCACCUC
rnacentral:rRNA from 1 species